AGCCGCAUGGUGUAGUGGUUUGAGCAUUGGACUACGAAUCUGGAGACCAGGGCUCAGAUCCCUGCUCGGCUG